rnacentral:lncRNA from 1 species
CCUAAGCAUGACGGUUGCAUGCAGUAUUUGUUUCAUACUUUAGCAGAUGUACAUAGGCCUGAUCAGAUUUCUAAACCGUCACCACCACUUAAGAAGCCAGUCCUCCGCUGUUAGAAAGACCUAGUUGGCUCUUGUGGGUAUAAUUGCUAUUUUAAAGGGUCAUGUGAGCAAAGAACUCAGCAUGGCUUUAACUGGAAUCUGUUUUACUGUGGAAUGAAAUUGUGCAUUUGAAUUUCACAGAAAUUAAAUGUUGAGCCUACAGCCUAUUUAGCAGUUUUAUCAUUACUGUUGGCAAAGAAAAUCACUGAAGAGCUAAUAAAGGAUGUUCUUUCAUUGGGGGAUGGGGUGGGGGGAGAAAAUACUAUCUUUCAGCCACAGAGUGACCUGCUGCUCACAAGGAAGGCACACCACCAGGCCCCAAAAUAGAGAGCCCACUUGUGAGCUCCAUGCAAGUUACCUCCCUUUCCAAGUGAGUUCCCUCAGAACAGUUCAGUACAAGGUGAAGCAGCCAAAUAACUUAUGUUCUUAAUAAUACCUUGUCUUUUAGGGCCAAUAAAGCCAAAAUGC